rnacentral:rRNA from 1 species
GAUGAACGCUGGCGGCGUGCUUAAUACAUGCAAGUCGAACGAACAGACGAGGAGUUUGCUGGUUUGACGAUUGCGGAGGGCGGGUGAAUAACAUGUGUAUCCUCCCCUUAAAUUAGUGGUAAAUCUAGGAAAAAGGGGAUAUUACAGCGUAGAAGAUCUUGAUCCGUGUGGGGGGUUGGUAAGAUUCGGCGGUUGGGGAUGGCCUCGCGGCUUAUGCGCUUGUUGGUGGGGUAGUGGCGUACCAAGGCUUUGACGGGUAGCCGGCCUGAGAGGGUGACCGGCCACAUUGGGACUGAGAUACGGCCCAGACUCCUACGGGAGGCAGCAGUGGGGAAUAUUGCACAAUGGGCGGAAGCCUGAUGCAGCAACGCCGCGUGCGGGAUGACGGCCUUCGGGUUGUAAACCGCUUUCGCCUGUGACGAAGCGUGAGUGACGGUAAUGGGUAAAGAAGCACCGGCUAACUACGUG